rnacentral:tRNA from 1 species
GCGCCCGUCACCAAGCGGCUAAGGUAAUCGCCUGCAGAGCGAUCAUUCGAGGGUUCGAGUGUCCCUCCGGGCGCU